CCCCAAACAGUUACGUGGUUCACCUGUGCCUCAUUUUCCUUUUGAAAGCCAGGUGCUUCUUUCUUGUGCCAUCCCCAAUGUUCAUCGCUCCCCUCGAGGUGGUAGCCAGGGGAGUCCUGGUCUCAGCCUGCUGUCACCUAGCGAGGGACUGUCAUGGCCCCUGGAUGCUUCUGGAAGUGCGUUCAGGAAGAAAGAGUUCCCUAUGGAGAAUCAUGAGUGUCACUUGAGCUGGAUAGGAAACUGUUUUUCCACUUCAUGAAAUUUUGAAUCGGCUGUGAUUCCCUAGAAGAUUAAAACAGCAGUAAAUUUUGGGCUGAUAUAUUAAUUUUGGUUUCAUUUUCUGGAAGAAAA
rnacentral:lncRNA from 1 species